rnacentral:rRNA from 1 species
AUUGAACGCUGGCGGAAUGCUUUACACAUGCAAGUCGAACGGCAGCACGGAGAGCUUGCUCUCUGGUGGCGAGUGGCGAACGGGUGAGUAAUAUAUCGGAACGUGUCCAAUAAUGGGGGAUAACGAGUCGAAAGAUUCGCUAAUACCGCAUACGCCCUACGGGGGAAAGCAGGGGAUCGUAAGACCUUGCGUUAAUGGAGCGGCCGAUAUCUGAUUAGCUUGUUGGUGAGGUAAAGGCUCACCAAGGCGACGAUCAGUAGCUGGUUUGAGAGAACGACCAGCCACACUGGAACUGAGACACGGUCCAGACUCCUACGGGAGGCAGCAGUGGGGAAUUUUGGACAAUGGGGGCAACCCUGAUCCAGCCAUUCCGCGUGAGUGAAGAAGGCCUUCGGGUUGUAAAGCUCUUUCGCAAGGGAAGAAAACUUAUGAUCGAAUAAAUCAUGAGGUUGACGGUACCUUGAUAAGAAGCACCGGCUAACUACGUGCCAGCAGCCGCGGUAAUACGUAGGGUGCGAGCGUUAAUCGGAAUUACUGGGCGUAAAGCGUGCGCAGGCGGUUUUGUAAGUCGGAUGUGAAAUCCCCGGGCUCAACCUGGGAACUGCGUUCGAAACUGCAAGGCUAGAGUGUGUCAGAGGGGGGUAGAAUUCCACGUGUAGCAGUGAAAUGCGUAGAGAUGUGGAGGGAAUACCCAAUGGCGGAAAGGCAGCC